rnacentral:lncRNA from 1 species
UAAUCCAUAGGACUAGGUGACUAUUUGGGUGAUUUAAUGAGGAGGAACCACAGUGACGACUCAUGCUUUAGGCUACUGACUAAUGCCAGUAACUGAGCAGAGACUCGGGAAGCAGGACAGGUUGGGUGAAGACGGUAACUCUGGUUUGAGACUCACUGAGCUGAAGUUCCUGCUGAUGUCAGAGUGGAGAUGUUGGCUGUGUGGGUUCAGGUAGAACGCAGCGGUGUGUUCCAGGCUGGGGGAUGAGUCAGAUGAAUGGGGCCUCUAGAGGUAGGUAGUGUUGGCAGUCCUUUUCCAAGAGUUGCGGUGCCUAGAACUGCACCAAAUCUUUGUAACCCUUUUUGAUUUCCAAAGGUGUGGAGAUGGGAUAGGGAGACAACCUCCCCACCGUUUCAAGUAGUCAGCUCUAGGAAGGACAGCCACAGCCAUAGAGCUAUAUAGUUAGGCUCCAGUAAGUAUGUGUAUUUUGGUUUGGGCACAUUGUUAGGGUUUUAAACAGCUUUGACCCUAGGAGGAUCUGAUAGGAACUGAAAUGUUAUUGUUUGUUUAUUUAUCCUGGCUGUCCUGGAGCUCUCUAUGUAGGCCAAGCUGGCCCUGAACUCACAGUAAUCCACCUGCCUCUGCCUUCCAAUUAAAGGUGUGCAGGGCUCACAACUGAAGUUUGAUUUCACACUAACAUUUUCCUUGGGGCUGGAGGAUGACGGGAUUUGAAGGCACACGUUUCCAUGGCACAGGGAUAAUGUUUGUUGGGUUUUGUUGUUGAUCCUUAUUGGGUUUUUGUUUAUUUGUUUGAGUUGAUUUGGCUUUGUUUGUUUGUUUGUUUGUUUGUGUGAGGACAAAUUCUCACACUGCACAGAAUGGACAUGUAGUCCAGGCUGGCCAAGGGCUCCAUGGUAGCCCAGGCUGGCCUUGAAGUCACGUAGUUUUUUUCUGCUUCAGGCUUCCAAGUAUAGGGAUUAUGGGCAUUAGCUGUGUUUUGAAUUUGUUUUCAUACUUUUCUUGACCAGGGCAAAAGGCAUUUCCUGUCUAGAAACCUCAAUUGCCAAUAUGUUUUCUAUGUCCUUACCAAGGGAAAAUGAGGUGGGUAGGAUGGUAGGGUUUUACAGCAUCGUCCUGUUUCCUCAUGCAAAGCAGGUGGGGAGGCAGAAGAGAAGGCCAGCUCACUCCCAUUGAGCGUCUAAUUUAUUAACAUCACUGAAGUGGCUACCUGUGGGCUUGAAGGCUGUCCCCUACAUAGCUUAUUAGUUGAUCUGAAAAUAAGAUUCAUUCAUUAUUCUUAUAAAUUCUGAUCCCCUCUGAAUUUACCUACUGCAGACUUUCGUGUAGUGAACUAUUUUUAUUUGCAUUAAAACUUAGACAUAUAUGAAGUUGAGAUCUGUCAAGACUUUACAUGACUCCAUAUUAAGUGUUAUUCAUAUUCAAGAAUAUUUCUGGAACUAUAAAACUAAAUUCCACAUCACAUAACUACUUGGUUGCUUACAUGUGGACUCAUGCAGCCCAUAGCUCUUGACAGUGUAGACUUGUUUUCUUUUUCAACUCGGGCUUGAACCAGGUUGGUCAUGGCAAGAGUUCUAAGAUGAACACUUGAUGGUUAUUAGAUAGCUGUUGGAAAAGGACCCAGUCAUCAUUUUGGUUUCUGAGGAGGUAACCAUAGCACUGGUGGCUAAAAUAGAUCAUCUGGUGACAUUUUCGCUAAGAAAAUAAACACUUAUUCACUUCUGUAAAAUGUUUUUCCAGAGCAUUCUCUAGGCCAACCAGAGCACCGGAGACAGUGCUUCCCACCAAGACCUGGUUUGUAUCACAGAGGAGAGCAUGAUAGGAAGUUGUUUGCUUUUCUGUUGAAUUGAGUAAACACUCAGACCAAAAGCAGCUCAGGGGAGGAGAGGGCUUACACUUUCAGGUCACCAUCUAUCACUGAAGGACGUCAGGGCAGGAACUCAAGCAGCCGCCGUGAAAAAGUGUAGCCUGCUAGCUCACUGGUUCAGCCUCAGCUGGCUUCCUUCUAUAGCUCAGGCUUACCUGCCCAGAGAAGGUGCCACCCCACAGUCGGCUUUCCAAGGGGCUCACGGCAAUUGCCAGUCAAAAAAAUCUCUCCUAGAUACACAGACAGGGGCACAGGUCAGCCUGAGCUCUUCACUUGUAGUUCCUUCUUCCCAAGUGACUCUGGGUUGUGUCAAGCUAACACUAUUCUCACUCUGUUUUGAAGUGUGUGUGUGUGUGUGUGUGUGUGUGUGUGUGUGUGUGUGUGUGUUUAAGGAAGUUUAGUUUGAUGCCUAGCCCUGGGUGAGCAUUGUAUAUUGGGGUGCCUAAUGCCUUCUAAAUGUUUCAGACCCCUCUGUUUUCUUGUCUUGGGUGUUUAUGUCACUCUUCCUAACAAUGUCUCAUUUUACAAAGCCUUAUGCAUCGUUAAAACUGUAUUUUUUAUUUAGAAUCUUAGUUCAAUAGAGCAUUGUGCUAAAGAGGCCAGGGUCAUGGGUGUUACCAUCAAGUAUUAC